AUUGAACGCUGGCGGCAGGCCUAACACAUGCAAGUCGAACGAGUGGCGGACGGGUGAGUAAUGUCUGGGAAACUGCCCGACGGAGGGGGAUAACUACUGGAAACGGUAGCUAAUACCGCAUACCAUCGGAUGUGCCCAGAUGGGAUUAGCUAGUAGGUGGGGUAACGGCUCACCUAGGCGACGAUCCCUAGCUGGUCUGAGAGGAUGACCAGCAAAACUGGAACUGCGACACGGUCCAGAAACCUACGGGAGGCAGCAGUGGGGAAGAUUAGACGAUGGGCGCAAGCCUGAUGCAGCCAUGCCGCGUGUAUGAAGAAGGGCUUCGGGUUGUAAAGUACUUUCAGCGAGGAGGCGUUACUCGCAUAAAAAGCACCGGCUGACUCCGUGCCAGCAGCCGCGGUAAUUC
rnacentral:rRNA from 1 species